AGAGUUUGAUUCUGGCUCAGAACGAACGCUGGCGGCGUGGAUAAGACAUGCAAGUCGAACGAGAGAAUUGCUAGCUUGCUAAUAAUUCUCUAGUGGCGCACGGGUGAGUAACACGUGAGUAACCUGCCCCCGAGAGCGGGAUAGCCCUGGGAAACUGGGAUUAAUACCGCAUAGUAUCGAAAGAUUAAAGCAGCAAUGCGCUUGGGGAUGGGCUCGCGGCCUAUUAGUUAGUUGGUGAGGUAACGGCUCACCAAGGCGAUGACGGGUAGCCGGUCUGAGAGGAUGUCCGGCCACACUGGAACUGAGACACGGUCCAGACUCCUACGGGAGGCAGCAGUCGAGAAUCAUUCACAAUGGGGGAAACCCUGAUGGUGUGACGCCGCGUGGGGGAAUGAAGGUCUUCGGAUUGUAAACCCCUGUCAUGUGGGAGCAAAUUAAAAAGAUAGUACCACAAGAGGAAGAGACGGCUAACUCUGUGCCAGCAGCCGCGGUAAUACAGAGGUCUCAAGCGUUGUUCGGAAUCACUGGGCGUAAAGCGUGCGUAGGCUGUUUCGUAAGUCGUGUGUGAAAGGCGCGGGCUCAACCCGCGGACGGCACAUGAUACUGCGAGACUAGAGUAAUGGAGGGGGAACCGGAAUUCUCGGUGUAGCAGUGAAAUGCGUAGAUAUCGAGAGGAACACUCGUGGCGAAGGCGGGUUCCUGGACAUUAACUGACGCUGAGGCACGAAGGCCAGGGGAGCGAAAGGGAUUAGAUACCCCUGUAGUCCUGGCAGUAAACGGUGCACGCUUGGUGUGCGGGGAAUCGACCCCCUGCGUGCCGGAGCUAACGCGUUAAGCGUGCCGCCUGGGGAGUACGGUCGCAAGAUUAAAACUCAAAGAAAUUGACGGGGACCCGCACAAGCGGUGGAGUAUGUGGCUUAAUUCGAUGCAACGCGAAGAACCUUACCUGGGCUUGACAUGUAAU
rnacentral:rRNA from 1 species